rnacentral:rRNA from 1 species
UCCCUCAGAAUGGUUGGAAAUCAUUCAUAGAGUGUAAAGGCAUAAGGGAGCUUGACUGCGAGACCUACAAGUCGAGCAGGGUCGAAAGACGGACUUAGUGAUCCGGUGGUUCCGCAUGGAAGGGCCAUCGCUCAACGGAUAAAAGCUACCCCGGGGAUAACAGGCUUAUCUCCCCCAAGAGUUCACAUCGACGGGGAGGUUUGGCACCUCGAUGUCGGCUCAUCGCAUCCUGGGGCUGUAGUCGGUCCCAAGGGUUGGGCUGUUCGCCCAUUAAAGCGGUACGCGAGCUGGGUUCAGAACGUCGUGAGACAGUUCGGUCCCUAUCCGUCGUGGGCGUAGGAAAUUUGAGAGGAGCUGUCCUUAGUACGAGAGGACCGGGAUGGACAUACCUCUGGUGUACCAGUUGUCGUGCCAACGGCAUAGCUGGGUAGCUAUGUGUGGACGGGAUAAGUGCUGAAAGCAUCUAAGCAUGAAGCCCCCCUCAAGAUGAGAUUUCCCAACUUCGGUUAUAAGAUCCCUCAAAGAUGAUGAGGUUAAUAGGUUCGAGGUGGAAGCAUGGUGACAUGUGGAGCUGACGAAUACUAAUCGAUCGAAGACUUAAUCAAAA